ACACACACACACACACACACAUAUAUGCUGGGAUACUGGGUCAUAUAAAAUGUGUUUUAAUUUUGGGUAUAGUCUCAUUUAUUUGAAAUAUCUAGGAUUCCUGCCUGUCAAGCCACUCCUUGUGGGAUAAUUAUAUUCCCUGUCCAUUGAGAUUUGGUUUGGGAACAUGACUUGAUCUGGCCAAUUAAAAAGAGGGAAGUGAUGUGUACUACUUCCAAGCAGAAGAUUUAGAAGUCAUCUUAUGGUUCCAUCUUUGCUCUUUUUUUCUGUGCCAUAAAUCUGAUGAUAUCCCAGAUAGAAUAUGAUCCAUAAUCCUGAGUCUUGGAAAGAAAAUGACAUAGAGUAGAACUGUACUCAAUCCCCAAUGGACAUAUAUUAGAUGCAAGAAACAAAGCUGAGGGCGAGAGAGAGAGAGAGAGAAAUUUGAGACUCAUUUGCUGCAACAGCCUAACUUGGGCCAAAGUAACUAUUUUCUGCUGAGUAGAUACUGAACAAGAACUCCUUGGUUUGAGGGGAAAACAGUAUGGAUGGGAAUGCAUGAAAGAAAAAAAUGAUAUUGGGAAUAUAAUUUUUCUUAUACAGAUCUUUCUAAUAUUUCACAAUUCUAUUAUUCAUGACCUAGUUCAUGCAUCACUUUCUUGGGAAAGCCUUUUCAGAUAUACCCCAGUAUAUACACCUCUCUUAUGGGAGCAAUCAACAUGUGUCUUUUAGAUUAGUUGUCAAGGUAUUAACCCUAGGCUUUUGAAAUGUCUAAUUCAAGUCCUUAUAAUUAUUUCAUGACACCAAUACUAACAUGAUUAGCACACAGAAGAUGUUCAAUUAGUGUUUACUAUGUUUUCAUGGAAAAAAUAUACAAAUAUUUUCUUAAUAUGCAAAUAUUGCCAAUAUUGUCUUUGGACAAAGUAUCCCAAGCAAAGAAACCCCAGUUAGAGGGACUAUGGUAUAUAUAAACAUAAACGUGCGUGA
rnacentral:lncRNA from 1 species